GUGUAUUGUCUUUCCUUUCACCAGAAUUAACACGUCUACACAUAUACUAAAAUUGGACUGAUACAGAGAUUAGCAUGGCCCUGUGCAAGUAUGACAUGCAAAUUUGUGAAGCGUUCCCUAUUUUG
rnacentral:snRNA from 1 species